UAGGGAAUCUUCCGCAAUGAGCGAAAGCCUGACGGAGCAACGCCGCGUGAGUGAUGAAGGUCUUCGGAUCGUAAAACUCUGUUAUUAGGGAAGAACAAAUGUGUAAGUAACUAUGCACAUCUUGACGGUACCUAAUCAGAAAGCCACGGCUAACUACGUGCCAGCAGCCGCGGUAAUACGUAGGUGGCAAGCGUUAUCCGGAAUUAUUGGGCGUAAAGCGCGCGUAGGCUGUUUUUUAAGUCUGAUGUGAAAGCCCACGGCUCAACCGUGGAGGGUCAUUGGAAACUGGAAAACUUGAGUGCAGAAGAGGAAAGUGGAAUUCCAUGUGUAGCGGUGAAAUGCGCAGAGAUAUGGAGGAACACCAGUGGCGAAGGCGACUUUCUGGUCUGUAACUGACGCUGAUGUGCGAAAGCGUGGGGAUCAAACA
rnacentral:rRNA from 1 species